rnacentral:rRNA from 1 species
AACGAACGCUGGCGGCAGGCUUAACACAUGCAAGUCGAACGCACCUUUCGGGGUGAGUGGCAGACGGGUGAGUAACGCGUGGGAAUCUACCCUUCUCUACGGGAUAGCUCCGGGAAACUGGAAUUAAUACCGUAUACGUCCUGAGGGAGAAAGAUUUAUCGGGGAAGGAUGAGCCCGCGUUGGAUUAGCUAGUUGGUGGGGUAAAAGCCUGCCAAGGCGACGAUCCAUAGCUGGUCUAAGAGGAUGAUCAGCCACAUUGGGACUGAGACACGGCCCAAACUCCUACGGGAGGCAGCAGUGGGGAAUAUUGGACAAUGGGCGCAAGCCUGAUCCAGCCAUGCCGCGUGAGUGAUGAAGGCCCUAGGGUUGUAAAGCUCUUUCAGUGGGGACGAUAAUGACGGUACCCACAGAAGAAGCCCCGGCUAACUUCGUG